UGAGGAAUAUUGGUCAAUGGGGGUAACCCUGAACCAGCCAUGCCGCGUGCAGGAAGACAGCCCUACGGGUCGUAAACUGCUUUUGUACGGGAACGAACCCCUCCUCGUGAGGAGGGCUGAGCGUACCGUAAGAAUAAGGAUCGGCUAACUCCGUGCCAGCAGCCGCGGUAAUACGGAGGAUCCGAGCGUUAUCCGGAUUUAUUGGGUUUAAAGGGAGCGUAGGCGGCCCGUUAAGUCAGGGGUGAAAGACGGUGGCUCAACCAUCGCAGUGCCUUUGAUACUGACGGGCUUGAAUACACCUGAGGUAGGCGGAAUGUGGCAAGUAGCGGUGAAAUGCAUAGAUAUGCCACAGAACACCGAUUGCGAAGGCAGCUUACUAAAGUGUGAUUGACGCUGAGGCUCGAAAGCGUGGGGAUCAAACAGGAUUAGAUACCCUGGUAGUCCACGCCCUAAACGAUGAUAACUCGAUGUCGGCGAUAUACGGCCGGCGUCCAAGCGAAAGCGUUAAGUUAUCCACCUGGGGAGUACGCCCGCAAGGGUG
rnacentral:rRNA from 1 species